UCCGAUCAAUGGAGAAAAAUGCUUCAGAUGUAUUCAUUGAAGAGCUCAGAUGUCCAAUAUACAACUUUCAUUUCCAAUUCAACAUUCAGAAUAGUUACAUCAAUUGCAAGAUUUAAAAGAUCUACUUGACAUAGUAAGGAAGAUCAAGGACAUAAAGGAGGAAAUAAGCCCAAGUGACACCAGAAAUUCCACCAAAAAAGAAUCCACCUGUGAACUUUGACCAUCCCUCUGCUGUUUGCAAUUGGUCUGGCACUUUUUUCCUCCCAGUCAAUGUCAAUGCUGGUGCUGUUGAUGCUUCUCCUUCUUUGAAUGAUGAUAUUCCAUAAAUGGUCAAACAUAUGCUAAGGAUCACUACAAGUCCUGCUGCUGCCAAUGAACCAGCUCCCCCUGCAUUAACAGUUAGCGGUGUCGAAUGAACGCGUUAGGCUGAAUUUGAGCAGGUCAAAAUGGGUUGAGUUAAUAAAUGAAACAGUCAUUAACCUACCCAAACUUGGACGUGUUGUGGGGGUCAUAUUUUCAUGGACAUUCAGCUGAACUCUUACAUCACAUCUUUGACACGGAGCUUACAUAUAUAUGUAAAAUAUUACUAGAUUUUUAACAAAUAUUAAAUCUUUAGCCGACACUUUUUGAAGUACAAUGAGUUCAUCGUUAAGAAUAUAAAUGCAUGAAGUUAAAAUUUUGAAUUCGACUUUACCUGCAUAUUCAGUGUUUCUUAAUGGACCAGCCUUUACAAAUGGGCCAACAAGCAGGAAUCCAUGGGCCAGGCCCACUUCUACUCCUCGGAGAAGUGGGUUCACGGCGGUCCGGUAGGCUGGUAAGUUGGAUAGGUACCAAGCAAUCAAUGGGCUUGAGGUCACUGGAGUUUCAAGGCUUCCAAUGAAAGGGUCACCAUUCAGAGGCUGAAUCACUUGGUAAGUAGG
rnacentral:lncRNA from 1 species